GACCAGACUCCUACGGGAGGCAGCAGUGGGGAAUAUUGCACAAUGGGCGCGAGCCUGAUGCAGCCACGCCGCGUGUAUGAAGAAGGCCUUCGGGUUGUAAAGUACUUUCAGCGGGGAGGAAGGCGAUAAGGUUAAUAACCUUGUCGAUUGACGUUACCCGCAGAAGAAGCACCGGCUAACUCCGUGCCAGCAGCCGCGGUAAUACGGAGGGUGCAAGCGUUAAUCGGAAUUACUGGGCGUAAAGCGCACGCAGGCGGUCUGUCAAGUCGGAUGUGAAAUACCCGGGCUCAACCUGGGAUCUGCAUUCGAAGCUGGCAGGCUGGAGUAUUGUAGAGGGGGGUAGAAUUCCAGGUGUAGCGGUGAAAUGCGUAGAGAUCUGGAGGAAGACCGGUGGCGAAGGCGGCCCCCUGGACAAAGACUGACGCUCAGGUGCGAAAGCGUGGGGAGCAAACAGGAUUAGAUACCCUCGUACUA
rnacentral:rRNA from 1 species